rnacentral:rRNA from 1 species
UACGUAGGGUGCAAGCGUUAAUCGGAAUUACCGGGCGUAAAGCGUGCGCAGGCGGUUGUGCAAGACAGAUGUGAAAUCCCCGGGCUCAACCUGGGAAUUGCAUUUGUGACUGCACGGCUAGAGUGUGUCAGAGGGGGGUAGAAUUCCACGUGUAGCAGUGAAAUGCGUAGAGAUGUGGAGGAAUACCGAUGGCGAAGGCAGCCCCCUGGGAUAACACUGACGCUCAUGCACGAAAGCGUGGGGAGCAAACAGG